GUGGUUUCUCCAAUCACCCAGAACUUCAUCAGAACAACUACCUACUCGUUAAUCACCAAGAAUCGUGAGCUUAUGAACCUUACAUAAUUUGUAAUCAAAAUCUUCAGUUUUUUGAUGAAUUUUGAGAGAAAGUGUAAGAUAUGUGGUUUGUGUGGAUAGGAAAUGAGAAAGGAUGAGAAAAAAUCGAAACUUUAGGGCAUUAACACUCUCAAUUUGGUAGUUCAUGGUUGUUGAGGUAUUGAUGUCAAUGGCAAAGUUGUGAAUAUUUGGUGAAGAUGAGGAUGGUAAGGUGAAAGCAUUAUUUUCGGAUAAAAAAAGUAACGGCAUUUUCGUGAAUAACUAGAACUUCUAGGGUG
rnacentral:lncRNA from 1 species